rnacentral:rRNA from 1 species
GACGAACGCUGGCGGCGUGCUUAACACAUGCAAGUCGAACGGAAAGGCCCUGCUUUUGUGGGGUGCUCGAGUGGCGAACGGGUGAGUAACACGUGAGUAACCUGCCCUUGACUUUGGGAUAACUUCAGGAAACUGGGGCUAAUACCGGAUAGGAGCUCCUGCUGCAUGGUGGGGGUUGGAAAGUUUCGGCGGUUGGGGAUGGACUCGCGGCUUAUCAGCUUGUUGGUGGGGUAGUGGCUUACCAAGGCUUUGACGGGUAGCCGGCCUGAGAGGGUGACCGGCCACAUUGGGACUGAGAUACGGCCCAGACUCGUACGGGAGGCAGCAGUGGGGAAUAUUGCACAAUGGGCGGAAGCCUGAGGCAGCAACGCCGCGUGCGGGAUGACGGCCUUCGGGUUGUAAACCGCUUUCGCCUGUGACGAAGCGUGAGUGACGGUAAUGGGUAAAGAAGCACCGGCUAACUACGUG